CUCACCGGAACAGAUAAGUUUGUCGCGCUCUAUGUGUGUAAGUAUUGUCACUUUUGACAUUUACCAUAUUUUUUUUCUGUUGAAAACUUUAGCCGAAAUUGUCUGAACUGUUUGAAAAGAAGUUUCUUUUAAGUAUCCAAAAAUUACUACUGACAAAGCUACUUAUGCUUAUCCAGUUGGUUACACUGCACAUGACUGUUGUACAUUGUGAUUAUACUUCCACACCCAGCCUGGAAGCACCCAGCUGCCUAAAGGGCGCUCCACAUUCUUAAGAGAAUCUCCCGAGAACGCGAGAAACAUGUGAGAAACGUGAAUGUGGAAGCGAUUUCUCAAGUUCUCGCGUUGUUCCCCAGCUUUACUCCACUUUUUGUCGGUAUUUUGGCGCGAGACAAAGGAGCGCGAGAACGUCAGAACAGGCGAGAACGUAGCGCGCGCGCCGCCGACUUGAACGGAAGUAAUUGUGUACUUUGUGGCGUCCAUCGUCAUCGAACGCGAGAACUGUAGUGAGAACUAUUUAAGAACUUUGUGAGAGUGUGUACCCAAAGAAGUUCUCCCUACAGUACUCGCAGAGAAUCUCCGGAGAUUCUCGCGUGAAUGUGGAGCGCCCUUUAGAAAGUUCUUACAGCGGGCUGCUUUCUUUGACUAUCAAUGAUAGGGUAAUAAUUUGGUGCUACCCCUUAAAUUACAGAUGCUUCCCCUUGGUGACGAGAAUGCCGCACCGCCAGCAACAGCCACUGGGACUAGUGCUGGUGCUGUUGCUACAAAUAGUGCUUUGCCCGACAGAAUUGAAAUUAUGUGAACUCCCAGAGGCGCAGAGGCUGAAGCCAAAGGAGACUUGAUGGUUUUGCAGUGCGAGCAGAUACAAUGCGAUAGCGAGAAGGCGGAAGCCAUGAAAAUGGUAGCUGCAGCAGUAAAUACACAAACUGCUGUAAAUGAGGGACACAAUGCCAGAUUAAUGGCAUUCAUAGAAGCAGAAAAAGAAACUCGGUCGCAGUCGUGGGCGCGGUCGUGGGCGCACCAAAAAAUUUCCUUGAGCAUAUAGAGCCUUUCAGCGGCUGAGUAUUCCAAAUCGCCGAGUCGUGUGGGCUACACACUUGCACGCCAUGACUUGCAUGACUUGCAUCCACACUUAAAAUGACGAGAUUAGCGUCACAUAUCUGUAAAAACUAACUGUGAUUAUAAGGCCCUACAUUAUAGGUAAUUUGUUAGUUUUUAAAGACUACUAGAUUACUACUUAAUUAUAAAUAAUUACCAACUGAGAUUUUCUAAUUUCCUAUAAUUAUGUAAUAACUUGAUUGUUAAUGAAUUAUUAUGAGAAUACUCAAAGACUUAUAUGAGAAAUAAUACUUUUAUGAAUAAUAUUUUUAGUUUUAUAAAGUUUUGUUGUUUUCCAAGAUGAUUUAGUCAGCAGUGAUAUCUGCCUUUAGAAAGCAUAUAGGUAAUUUGUUAUUCUAGGAAAGAGACUAUAGAAAUUCCAAUCGCCAUCUGUUGGUCACUUGGGUGCAACAACACUCAUCGCAAUAAAAUAAAAAUAAUUUAAUAUGAUGAUGUAGUUUCUAAUGUGGAUUUGAACAAAAUAAAUACAUUUUGGCUCAGUAACUUUUAUUUACAUAGGUACACUGAUAAAUAAAAUUAUUUUAACUAGCUACUGGAUCAAUAUAUUAUAAAUGUAAUUAUUAUUUCAAAGUAAGUUGUCAUACGGUACAGUUGAUUUUGAUGUUUAUUGAUACACUUAGUAGUUCAUAUCAUAGCAUCAUGAUGCGUCAUCAAUUCAUCAUCAAAUACGUAGGUGGCCUAAUGCUAAUUAUAAUAGCUAAUUAUAAGUACAUCGCGUCUGCGUCAUUUGCACGAAUUAUAUUAUUUAUAGAGUACUAGAUAGUUAAUUAAAAUGUACAUACAUGGCGCUUUUAUGAGAUAUUUCACCUAUGAGUUAUGAUUAUUAUUAAUAAGCACACUAUACAGAAUUCUUGAAUCAGAAUAUAGGCUAAGAAUUUUGUAAGAAAAAAAAUAAUAAAUUUAGAAAUACCAUUGUGAUCUUAAUCAUACCUACUUAUAACAAUAAUAAACAAUAUAAAAUAAUUUAACAUGAUUGUGUUGAUGUAGUUUCUAAUGUGGAUUUGUAUAAAAUAAAAUAAAUUUGUCUUGGCA